UACGUAGGGGGCAAGCGUUGUCCGGAAUCAUUGGGCGUAAAGAGCGUGUAGGCGGCCAGGUAGGUCUGCUGUGAAAACUCGAGGCUUAACCUCGAGAUGUCGGCGGAAACCAUCUGGCUAGAGUCCGGAAGAGGAGAGCGGAAUUCCUGGUGUAGCGGUGAAAUGCGCAGAUAUCAGGAGGAACACCCGUGGCGAAGGCGGCUCUCUGGGACGGUACUGACGCUGAGACGCGAAAGCGUGGGGAGCGAACAGG
rnacentral:rRNA from 1 species